rnacentral:rRNA from 1 species
GACGAACCGUGCAAACGUUGUUCGGAAUCACUGGGCUUAAAGGGCGCGUAGGCGGGCGGUCAAGUCAGGGGUGAAAUCUUUCGGCUCAACCGGAAAAGUGCCUUUGAUACUGGCCGUCUGGAGGGAGGUAGGGGCGUGCGGAACUUUGGGUGGAGCGGUGAAAUGCGUAGAUAUCCAAAGGAACACCGGUGGCGAAAGCGGCGCGCUGGACCUCUACUGACGCUGAGGCGCGAAAGCCAGGGGAGCAAACGGG